GUCUAUGGCCAUGCCACCCUGAACGAGCCUGAUUUCAUUUGAUCUCGGAAGCUAAGCAGGGUCGGGCCUGGUUAGUACUUGAUGGGAGACCACCUAGGAAGACCAGGUGCUGUAGGCG
rnacentral:rRNA from 1 species